UGAAAAUUGGGAAAUUUCUGUGUAUUCAUUUCUCUGUAAUUACAUGUCUUUAUACAUACUACCAAGGACUACUGCGCAAAUGGCUAGGGACUGAAAAUUAAUUGCUAAUUUCUAUGUAACUAACUCUAACUAUUUUUCCUACAGCUCAUCUAUUAUAGAAAAUUCUUAUUACAAUGCAGUAGAUAUUAUUUACACACUGUUGGGUCAGCUGAGGAACCAGGCCUGGUUCUGCUGAGGAACCAGGCCCAAUUCUUUAUUUCAUCUAUGUAGAGGCCCAAACCAUUUCAUCAUUUCUUCAGCCCAUAGUUCAUUAGUCCAUGUAUGUUUCUUCAGACAGUGUUGAAGUUAACCUCGUAUCAGCCUUCUUCUUGUUCUUCUUCAACAUACUUUCUUCUUCAUCUUCUUUGCAUCUUUCUCGAUCAUCAAUGAAAAUAGAGGGCUUUUCUUCAACAUCCCCCCUCAAGUUGGGGAGGAGAGUAAGAACACCCAACUUGGUAAUGAUUUUCCGGUAAGAAUCCCCAGAAAGGGGUUUGGUGAAUAGAUCGGCAAUCUGAUGAUGUGAAGGAACAAAACUCAGAGAAAUGAGAUCGGAAAGAAACUAUUGCCUCACAAAGUGACAGUCGACGUCCACAUGCUUGGUUCUUUCGUGAAAGACGGGAUUCCGAGAUAUGUGGAUGGCAGCUUGGCUAUCCGAAUGGAUCGAAAUGGGAAGAGGUGGUGGUGCUGACAAAUCUUCAAGGAGACGAACUAACCAGAAAGCCCAAUCAGCAUCGCAGAAGGCCAAAAGAUCCAUAGAUGGUGUUGAAGAGAGGAGGAUGCCUUGACUAGGAUUAGAUCGGAGGUAUCUGAGAACUCGAAGAGCGGCUGAAAAAUGCAAAAGACUAGGACUUUGCAUGAAUUGGCUGAGACACAACACAGCAUACGACAGAUCUGGUCUGGUGAUAUAGUUUGGCUCCAUCUACUUUGCCAAACCUCUUUUCCAAGCUGUCCCACAAUUCCUUUGCUGUUUUUGAAUAAAUCACACUGUCUCGAAUGUCCGGUGAUAGUGCAUUCAACAACCAUUCUAUUACCAUGUCAUUCACACAGCUCCAUUGCUCAUAAUCACUAGCAGUCAGAUCUGGUGCUUUGCAAAUGCCAUUGAUGAAACCAAGUUUCUUCUUGGCAGAUAAUGCUAUCAGUAUUGAUCUUCUCCAACCUGGAAAACCUCUUCCAUCGAAAGUUGAGUGAAUCAAAUUCAUACCAGGAGAAUCUGAUGGGAAGUGAUAAGGAUGACUUGCAUCAAUGGUGGUGACUUCAGUUGCAGUGUUCCCUAUGUUUCUGGUUUAAGGAGUUUUGUCACCCAUUUUCCCUUUAGAACUGCAAGAUAUUGAUAGUGAUUUUGAUUUGAAAAAGUUAUAUAAACUUCAGAUCGAGCUACUGUUCUGAUACCAUGUGAGAAUUAAGUGAUGAAUAGAUGAAAAUUGAGAAAUUUCUGUGUAUUCAUUUCUUUGUAAUUACAUGUCUUUAUACAUACUACUAAGGACUAUUGUGCAAAUAGCUAGGGACUGAAAAUUAAUUGCUAAUUUCUAUGUAACUAACUCUAACUAUUUUUCCUACAGCUUAUCUAUUCUACAAAAUUCUUAUUACAAUGCAAAGAGAUAUUAUU